AGAAUCAUCACCGGUGAAGAAGCAAAAAAAAAAAAAGAAAAAGACACAAAGAACACCAAAAAAAACACAAUCCAAAAAGAAAAAGGUUGUUGUUGAGCAUUCAUCUCCUGAAGAAGAUCAAUCCUAUGAUGGUGAGAGAUAUGAAAUAGGAAGUGAAAAUCUAGAUGAAUUGUUAAGGGAAAACAAUGAAAAAUCUGCUGCAGAGGGGGAGAAGGAAGCUGACCUGCGAUCGACAGAAGGUCGCUAUGUCUCCUCUGAAACAAUACCGGACGUGAACUUGGGAAGUGAUGAUCCUUCCUCUCAAGGACACACAGAACAAAGUAGUGUAAACAGGCCGGCAGAGAGCAU